AGACUAGCCGAAAAAGCAAAAUAUUGGCUUGCAACAAUCUUCAACCUGGAGGAGAUUAUGAUGACAAAGAAGUCUGGAAUAAACAAGAAACCUCCGAACCACCAUAACUGUGUCUGCUACAAUGUGUGUUCUUGCAACCAGCUGAUUGAUUCAUUUUAUCAACUCUCAAAUGGUUGAUUAUCAGAACUGAAUUCAGAGCUGCUCCUGUCUGUAGUAACAUCUUAUUAGAGUGGACUUCAGAAUGAGGGUGUUGCUGGUUUAAAAACUUCACUCCAUGGAGCUCUCCAAUUUCAUCUCAAAUUAGACUGCUUCUGGAAACCAGAUUUGUUCCUUCAAGCAGAGAUGCUUGUGGCUUUCCUGACUGGACUCCUAUGGAUUCUUCUUGCCAACAUUAAGGACUGUGGGCUGACAUUCAGUGGUAAAACACUUGAUGAAGAUGAUAUGAAUUUUUAUUUGAUAUGAAUGAAUCUCAGAAGUAAUUCCUCAGGAGUAAGAAACAAUGAAAAUUAAAAAUAAAAGGUCCAUCAAUAAUGAAUGUCUUGAGCAGUGUUCUUUUUGUGCACAGAUCAAUGGAUCUUUUCAUUUCCAAGCAGGGAUGUAGUCAAUGCUGACCUCGAGACAACAUUUUGCUGGCCUUGGUCCGAAUCACUGUACAGAAUCUAUGGGAAAUUCUCUCAAGCUGCCUCAUGACUCGGAAGAAUCAGCCUCGACCUCAUCCCUGUAUGCAAGUGUGAUAUAUAUCUACCAUGCAAUCUCAUGAUUAAAGAGAGAGAAACAAGAGAGUUUCAGAUUUUGAAGUGUAGCUCCUGAAAUGUAUGUUUUAUUUGAAAAUCAAACUAAAAUAACUUAAUUGGGCAUGUUAUUCAUUAUGAUAUGUAUGAAUGAAAGCAUUUCAGAAGCAAUUUGGUGCUCUUGCAAAACAAAUUCUGAGUUGUAUUUACUGCAAACCCUCAGAAAUAUUGAUAAGCAUUUGCCAGUGCAUGAAGUGUUUUAAUGAAGAGUGGCUUUUUUUUAACUAUGGAUAGUUAUUAUUUCUUCAAUAUUUUUUCAUACAAAUUAUUUCAGAAAUCACAAUUUGAAUAUUCCAAGAUGACAAGAGCAGAAUAUUUUUGGUGAUUGACACACUUUAAAAUGAUAUUAGGAGAGAAUGUAGUGAAAUUGUGUGAAAAUAAUGGCAUAUUUGCUGAAGAGGCCUUUAAAGAUUGAAAAUAACAUUAUUUCAAGCUUUUCUUGAAAAAAACCCAUGGAAAAUUGAAAAUGGCAUAAUUUACACAAGUUUUC